UUAUUGUAAACUGAAAUCUCAAAAACAAAGGGGCGCUGAUCGGCGAUUGAGAACGGUGGUAGGUUAGGGAUACGGCGGAGCUCUGGACGCUGAUCUGCAAGUCUAAUAUCUUUGCUCUUGUCAACAAUGGUGGUUUUUUUUCUUCCGGCAGCCGCCAUCCCUCCGGUCAUUCAGACCGCUGACGGAAUCAGCGGAAGCCAUCGCCCUUACCUGUUUCAGAAGAGCUCUAAUAAAUCUCCACAAAUCAUCAGACAUGCUCUCUCCCCUCCUCCGCUCUUGCUCCUAUUCUGCAGGCGCCGUCGUCGCCGGGGGCUAGCUCCUCCUUCUAGGGUGGUGUAUUCUCAGUCAUCCUCUAAUGUGAAUGGAUUUACCACCAGUCGGAUUCCGAAUCAGGUUACUGAUUCCUCUAUUGAGGGGGUUCGCGAGAGGCUGCGAGCUUGGCGACAGUUCUUGCCAGGCGGUAGCUGGUGGUUGCUCCAAGGAAACGAAUAUGUGGAGGAGGGAAAAGGGCGAUGGAGUAAGAAUGUAACUGUAGCGCAGGCUUUAAAGCGGAUGUGGUUUCUGGUGUCGGGCGGCAGACGUGUGAUCUUUUUGGCGUUUGCAUCUCUCUUCAUUGCGUCCCUCUCAGAAAUAGCAAUACCGCACUUCCUGACAGCGUCUAUUUUUUCUGCACAAAGUGGCAAAAGCAUGAUGUUCUACAAGAAUGCAAAGAUCCUACUUUCAUUGUGUUUGGUAUCUGGAAUAUGCAGUGGAUUGCGGAGUUGCUGCUUUGGCAUUGCAAAUAUGAUAUUGGUUAAACGUAUGAGAGAAGUGUUAUAUUCCACUCUACUUUUCCAGGAGAUGGCCCUCUUUGAUGAAGAAACAGUUGGGGAUUUAACGAGUAGACUUGGUUCAGACUGUCAACAAGUAUCUCGUGUCAUUGGAAAUGAUCUUAACUUGAUUUGUCGAAAUGUGGUUCAGGGCACUGGUGCAUUGAUUGCUCUUUUUAUAAUAUCUUGGCCUCUUGCACUAUCUAUGGUGCUUAUCUGCGCUUCUUUGGCAACUGUGCUGUUCUUUUAUGGACGGUUCCAGAAAUGGGUAGCAAAAUUAACUCAAGACUUCGCUGCUCGUGCAAAUGAAGUUUCCCAAGAAACUUUCUCUCUUAUCAGGACAGUCAGAAUAUAUGGGACUGAAAAACAAGAAAUUGAAAGAUACAGGACAUGGCUCGAGAGAUUGUGGGAUGUAAGCUUGCGACAAAGCGUGGGAUAUGGAUUUUGGAGUUUAACCUACAAUUACUUCUACCAUUCUACCAAGGUAGUUGCUGUCUUGAUCGGAGGGAUUUCAAUUUUACGUGGUCAUACAACAGCUGAACAGCUUACUAAGUUUAUACUGUACGCUGAAUGGCUAAUUUAUUCAGCUUGGUGGAUUGGAGACAAUUGGUCUUCAUUAAUGCAAUCAGUUGGAGCAAGUGAAAAGGUGUUUCAAUUGAUGGAUCUUUUGCCUAGAAAGAAAUUCAUAUCGGGAGGACGUCAGCUGCAAAAGCUAAUUGGGCGUAUUGAAUUUGUUGAUGUAUCAUUUCAUUAUCCCUCAAGGUUAAUGUUCCCAGCUGUUGAACAUAUAGACUUGUCUAUACAGCCCAAUAAAGUUCUUGCAAUUGUUGGUCGUAGUGGAAGUGGGAAAAGCACAAUUGCCAAUCUUCUUCUUCGCCUUUAUGAACCAACAAAUGGUGCGAUAUUAGUCGAUGGUAUCCCUAUUGAAGAUUUGGAUAUCAAGUGGCUGAGAGAAAAAAUUGGGUUUGUGGGUCAGGAGCCUCCUCUUUUUCGAAUGGAUGUAACCUCAAACAUUAGGUAUGGCUGUACUAGGGAAACCACUCAGGAAGAAGUUGAAUGGGCUGCAAAACAAGCUUUCGCUCAUGAAUUCAUACUCUCUCUACCUGACGGAUAUUCCACCCUCGUUGACAAUGCUCUUCUUAGCGGUGGCCAGAAGCAACGCAUUGCGAUCGCAAGGGCUAUUCUUAGAGAUCCAACCAUCUUGAUUCUUGAUGAAGCCACUAGUGCCCUUGAUGCAGAAAGUGAGCAUUAUAUCAAGGAGCUCCUUCUAUCAGAUCGAAAUGUCUCUGGAGAAAAGAGAACUGUCAUUGUCAUUGCGCAUAGGCUAUCAACUAUACAAGCUGCUGAUACAAUUGUGGUUAUGGAUGUUGGUAGAAUUGUUGAGGUGGGAAAUCACAAGCAGCUUCUGCACAAAAAUGGAUUAUACGCAAGUUUAGCUCGAAGGCAGUCAGAUGCCUUUGUUUGAUUGCUUGAUGGCGAACAACUUUUAGGGAUUUGACAUACUUUUCAGGGGAGUUAAAUUACUCGCUUGUAAUCAAUAAAGCCAGGUCUAUUAAUCUAAAAUAGUAAAAUAUCUGUUUACUUGUAUCUAAAUACUUCAUUUGAACAUGUAGGGGUUGGUAGAAUUUUUGUUGCCACCUCUGCUCAUCAUUUUUCAAUCAAAAUGCAUGAUUUGCCCUCCAGAUUUAUGAGAGCGUGCAUAUAGCUGGACGAGAGUUUAUUGUCCAAAUAAAUUUCACAAAAGGGUUGCAGCCACACUUUUUAUUUGGUCAUUUUUUUUAUUGCUUUAAAGCAAAUUGUCUGACUCAGGAAGAUUAAAAUUGAUUGGGUCUUGUAAAGGCUGCAUAAGGAUUGUUCCACCAUUUGUACUGACUGCACAUUCAUAGAGAGGUAGUGGAGAUGUUGCAAGGUA